CACGUAGGGUGCGAGCGUUGUCCGGAAUUAUUGGGCGUAAAGAGCUCGUAGGCGGUGUGUCGCGUCGGCCGUGAAAACCUGCAGCUUAACUGUGGGCUUGCGGUCGAUACGGGCAUCGACUGGAGUUCGGCAGGGGAGACUGGAAUUCCUGGUGUAGCGGUGGAAUGCGCAGAGUAUCAGGAGGAACACCGGUGGCGAAGGCGGGUCUCUGGGCCGAUACUGACGCUGGAGGAGCGAAAGCGUGGGGAGCGAACAGGAUAGAAACCCCG
rnacentral:rRNA from 1 species